ACCAAAGCACAGUUACUUACUAAACAAGGAUACAGCUCUCAUUAUCUUUGAUAUAAAAUGUAUUUACAUUUACAUAUACAUGUAAAACUCUAAGUUUGGAUAAAUCAGAAAAAUUUGAAUAGGAGACCCAUAAUCUGAGGCCACAAAAUAAUUGGCCACAGCAGUUGCCCCAGCGGCUCACAAAGGGUUUUCCGACAUGUCUCAGAGAGUAUCAUAUUCAUCAAGAGGAAUGGAGAGGCAGGCUGGUGAAAGGGGCUUAUUCUCAUAACCCACGACUGAAUCAAAUCAUGAAAAAUUGUCAAAGAUCUAUAGGGAAAUAAGUCAGAUCCUGCAAAAUGAUUUAUCUGUUCCUAUGCCUUUGGCCUCUAGUGGAGAGCCUUGUUCUGCUUUAUGAGAACUACACUUAAGUCCCUCAGGCCCUUGCCUUUCUUAUUCCUUCCCUCAGCUUACAGUGCCUUGCCCUGUAACACUCCCUUCUUCUCUACCUUCUGGAAAGCUUUCUCUUCCUUAAGGCCCCGUUCAUUAUUUCCUUUCAUUAUCAGACAAAAUUAAUUCCUGGUUUCCCUGUCCUCUCAUGCCACCUUCUUAAUAACUGUGUACCCAGCAUACAUUUUAAAACACAAUCUAGACGUAGAGACAUUUAAUUUUCUGUCUCAAAUAAAAUAUUUAAUUUUCUUUCCCUUUAGUAAGAGGGAAAAGCAAACAAACAAAAACAAAAUCAAAACCUUACUCUCACCCUUUCAAGAUAACUGAGUCGCUUUCUUUUCAAAACUUAAUUUCCUGGCUAAGUGCAGUGGUUCACACCUGUAAUCCAACAAUUUGGGAGGCUGAGGCAGGAUGAUUGCUUGAUGCCAGGAGUUUGAAACCAGCCUGGGAAACAUAGCAAGACCCCAUUUACAAAAAAAUACAAAAACUAGCUAGGUGUGGUGCUGCACACCCGUAGUCCCAGCUACUCUGGUGACUGACCUGGGAGGAUCACUUGAGCCUAGGAGGUCAAGGCUGCAGUGAACUAUGAUUGUGCCAUUAUACUCCAGCCUGGGCAACAGAGUGAGACCCUGUCUCAAAGAAAUGAAAAAAAAAAAAAACAAAAAAAAAACCUUUAAUUUUCUGCAUUUAACUCACUGUCAUUUAGAUAUGCCGUAAGUAUUUCAUGGUUUUUUCCUCCUCCCAACACCCCUCUCCCUGCCACGGUGUGGGAAGCUCAGGUUCUACUCUUUACCAUUCUCUGUGUGAAAUUCAACUGACUUCUCUACCUCUGUGGGCCUCAAUAUUGGACUCUAUACUAUGAGGAAGUUAACUAAAAGAUUUUGAAAGCAUCUUCAUGAAUGAAAAAUGUAAGCUUCUCAACAAACAUAUUGACUAUAAUAUUGACUAUACAUUGGAGAAAUCAACACUUAACUUCCUUAAUUAUACAGACUAGGACAAUUUUAGACAACCCAUUAGCCUUCUUAAACUUCCUUUGGCUGAUAUGUAUGCAAUGGAAUUUCCAUCCAUUUUCAAAGAACUACAUAUAAC
rnacentral:lncRNA from 1 species